AUUGAACGCUGGCGGCAGGCUUAACACAUGCAAGUCGAGCGGGGAAGGGUAGCUUGCUACVCUGACCUAGCGGCGGACGGGUGAGUAAUGCUUAGGAAUCUGCCUAUUAGUGGGGGACAACAUUCCGAAAGGAAUGCUAAUACCGCAUACGCCCUACGGGGGAAAGCAGGGGAUCUUCGGACCUUGCGCUAAUAGAUGAGCCUAAGUCAGAUUAGCUAGUUGGUGGGGUAAAGGCCUACCAAGGCGACGAUCUGUAGCGGGUCUGAGAGGAUGAUCCGCCACACUGGGACUGAGACACGGCCCAGACUCCUACGGGAGGCAGCAGUGGGGAAUAUUGGACAAUGGGCGCAAGCCUGAUCCAGCCAUGCCGCGUGUGUGAAGAAGGCCUUUUGGUUGUAAAGCACUUUAAGCGAGGAGGAGGCUACUUGGAUUAAUACUCUAGGAUAGUGGACGUUA
rnacentral:rRNA from 1 species